CUCUAGCGAAAUGCAUGCAUGGGUUAUUUGAUAUACCCGAUCAAUAAAUCAAACUUAUGUCUAUAUUUUUUAAUGAUAUAAGGCUUGUCAGUUUUAUUAUAUGUAGAUGGUUUUCCUUAAUGAUUAAUUGUUGCAUGCACUAAAAGAGCUACGGGACCAUGCAUGUGGUAUUUUCUACAUGCAUGAGAAUUUAAGCACCACAUAAUAAUUUAAGCGGUGCAUGGUAUACUUGUCAUACCGUAUUUAUUUGAGUUAAUAUAUUUACCUAGUGCGUUUCAUUUAUUUUUUACUACCCAAGUAUAUGUUUUAUGAUAACAUAGUCUUGGUUUAGCUAGGCAUGAUAUUUGAUUAGAUCCUACUUUGCUCAUAGGAUAAAUAUAUGUGAUGCAUACAUGGAGAAUGCAAUUUUUAAUGGCCACUAUUUUAUUUUAUUUCAUAUGAAAAUAUUUUAGAACUUAUGAUUUUAACUUUUUAGUCAGCUCAAGAAACUAGUUUUCAUGAGAUGCAAUUUGGAACUCUUUAGCUUGUGCCAAUGUGACCAAGCCAAAAUCAUGAUUUAAUGAUAUCAAUUUGAG
rnacentral:lncRNA from 1 species